rnacentral:rRNA from 1 species
CGAACGGGUGAGUAACGCGUGAGGAACCUGCCUCAAAGAGGGGGACAACAGUUGGAAACGACUGCUAAUACCGCAUAAGCCCACGGCUCGGCAUCGAGCAGGGGGAAAAGGAGCAAUCCGCUUUGAGAUGGCCUCGCGUCCGAUUAGCUAGUUGGUGAGGUAACGGCCCACCAAGGCGACGAUCGGUAGCCGGACUGGGAGGUUGAACGGCCACAUUGGGACUGAGACACGGCCCAG